rnacentral:rRNA from 1 species
GAUGAACGCUGGCGGCGUGCUUAACACAUGCAAGUCGAACGAAGCACCUUAUUCUGAUUUCUUCGGAAUGAAAAUUUGGUGACUGAGUGGCGGACGGGUGAGUAACGCGUGGGUAACCUGCCUCAUACAGGGGAUAACAGUUAGAAAUGGCUGCUAAUACCCCAUAAGACCACAGCACCGCAUGGUGCAGGGGUAAAACUCCGGUGGUAUGAGAUGGACCCGCGUCUGAUUAGGUAGUUGGUGGGGUAACGGCCUACCAAGCCGACGAUCAGUAGCCGACCUGGAGAGGGUGACCGGCCACCAUUGGGACUGAGACACGGCCCAA